rnacentral:lncRNA from 1 species
UCCAGAUUCACAAGCUGCCAUCAUCAUAAGGUGCAAAUUCGAUUUCCUUAAUUGUGUGAAUCAUGAUAUGCGUUUUGAAGGUCUUUCAAUGUAGAUUAACAUGAUGCUCAUAGUUUUUGAUUUAGUUAAGUAUUGAGAGAGUAAUCGUGAUUUGAAGUUUGAUGUGCGUUUCUACUUUUGGUCGAUCCGGAUAACAUGUUUAGAAUUAGGUUAAAAUGAUUACAUAUUCG